rnacentral:lncRNA from 1 species
GACGUCCAUAUACACUUCUCCCAAAAUCCUGUGCUUAACACAUUGUUACUGAGCACACAGGCGUGCUGGGGCAAGCGACGCCUGGGAAUAUGAAGCGAACGCCACACACUAGAACGCGCCCUGGGAGCUGGCCUCCGGUGGGGGACGCAGGUGUUGAAGACAUAACCGCAUGACCGAGAAACCUCAGUUUUGCUCUGAAGGCCUUCAACUGCCCGGCCGAGGCUCACCCACACCAAGGGGAAUCCCUUCUCUUAAAGUCAACUGAUGGUAGAUGUCAACCACAGCUACAAAACACCGUCACAGCAACACCUGGGUUAGCGUUUGAUUGAAUAAAU